UAGGGCGUCGCCAAGUGGUAAGGCAUCGGGUUUUGGUCUCGACAUUCAGAGGUUCGAAUCCUUUCGCCCUAG
rnacentral:tRNA from 1 species